CGCUGCAGUGCACGGAACCACCCCUGAGGCGACACCCGGCUCAGGCCGUGUCACGGCUGUGACCACUUAAGCACCUGGUCGGUUUUUCUAAAAAACUUCCGCUAAGAGGAAAGAGAAUCUUUGAAGCUCUUUUCAUCUGAUUUUUGGUGUCUUUCCUGCUUCCUCCUGUCCCCCCGCUCCUCUGUACUAUCUGUCUGGGAAUGUAUCUAAUCCAUAUUUCAUGCUGACUUUCUGAGAACUAUUCAGAAUGCAGUGAACAAUAAAGAUGGAAAUAAAGGCCUGCAAUAAAUGUCAGUCCCUAC